rnacentral:lncRNA from 1 species
AUAAGCCUCCCACUCUAGGUCUCAGGAUGAGACUCGAGAGCCACGGCCCAGCCGGGCUGCCCCUUCCGGGGCGAUGUGCUGCCCGGCAGCAACCAGUCUCCCUUACGCGCCCAGCGCCUACGGUCUCGGCUCGUCCUCGCGGCCGGGAAAGGCCCCGGCCGCACUUCGGGGACUCCCGCUGCUCAAGCUCCAGCCGCUCAGGUCCCGGGGGAUCAGAAGGCCACGAUGGCUGUGCUCCAGGGGCUCAUGUCUCUCAGAACCGGCUUGUCGCAGCAGAUCUGCCCGGGCUCGGAGGCUUCCGGGCCGCCCUCCUCCGCAUCAUAUUCCUCCCGCCCGGCCGCAGGGCUUUUCCGUAAGAGUCCCGAGAAGCUAGACCCGAAGAUGCUGAUGAGGUUUGCCACGUUCCCGGUUUCCAUCUCCUCGUCGGUGUCCUCCUCGUCGGUGACCGGCUGCUCCUCGGAGUUCCGGCGCGGCUUCUUGAGAGGGGUAGAGCCGGGCGCGGAGCAGCCCGCGCGGCCG